rnacentral:lncRNA from 1 species
AGGGCUCUGAAAACUGGGCUGGACUCGUGCAGCGCCUGGCUCGUCCUUGAUCUCUGCAAUUCAUGAACCCUUCUCCCAAGCACUGUUUUUCUUUAGUCAGCAGUGUUUUGUGCCCCCAAGUCUCAUAGGGAUACUUAAGGAAACAAGAAUACAGCACCCUACGGUUUCACCCAAACCAAAAUGCUUUUGUUUUAUGGCUGUCCUGGCUCUGAAAACAGCAUGUUUUCAAAAGGCAAGAGGCUGCAGCAAGGGACUAGAAGACAAGCAGUGAAGUAGAAACAAGAUAAAACUGGCAGCGCCAGAGAGGAAAGCAGGAAAAGGAAAAGGGCGACGAGGCUAGCAUUCAGCAGGAGAUCCCACGGUCUCUUAUUUGGAACGCUUUGCGCCAGGAGGUAAUCAAGGGCCCCUGGAGGCCAGCGGGCUCCUCGUCUUCAUUGCCUGUGCCAGAGGAGAAGAGUUGGCGUAUCCUUCGUCGUGCCACAGCUGAGUGCACCCAGAACUACAUGACCUCCCCUCACGCUGCAUCUCUGCAGGGGCCUCCUCGGCGCCCUGUCGUGUCCUGGACCCCCACUUACUAGGAGUUUCCGGCCCCAGCAAGGUUUAGCCUUUCUUUGUGAACCUCAGGGUGGGCCCUUUCAAUUAAUUUCCAAAGCGUCUGGAUCCUGUUUCUCGACACAGGUUAAAUGACUAAGCUUCUUGAACCCUUGUAUCUGAGCUCCAUGAGAACGAGAGGGAACUGCUUUCUGAGGGAUUUGCCUCAAUUCCAUGAUAUCUUCCUUAUGUGAGGUGACAGGGUGCUGUGCUCCAUUCCCGGGGGUGGAUGUCCCACAGAGCAGGGGGUCGCUUCAAUUUCUGAACUGGGCUCAAGCAGAAGCUUGUGUGAAAUCUCUUUGAGAGUCACUUGAGGGUUUUCUCCUCUAUUUUUGAUGCCUCGUUGUUGCUCCCUGCGUCCUUCCCUGCCUUCUCCCUCAUUCUUUUGCGUCCUUUCUCACUGAACUUUCCUCAGGAUUCCCCAGUCAACAUCCCUUCUUGCGGUGUCGCUCUUUU